AGAGUUUGAUCUAUGGCUUAGGAUGAACGCUGGCGGCGUGCCUAACAUCAUGCAAGUCGAACGAGAAGCUAACCUCUGAUUCCUUCGGGAUGAUGAGGUUAGUCAGAGAGUGGCGAACGGGUGAGUAACGCGUGGGAAACCUGCCCUCGAAUCUGGGAUAAUCCUCGCGAAAGCGUUGCUAAUACCGGAUAUUGUCCUAUUAGCUGUGGCUUUUAGGAUGAAAGGUGACCUCUUUAUAAAAGUUGCCGUUUGAGGAUGGGCCCGCGUACUCAUUAGCUUGUUGGUGGGGUAAUGGCCUACCAAGGCAACGAUGGUUAGCUGGUCUGAGAGGAUGAUUCAGCCAUCCCUGGAACUGAAACACGGUCUCAGACUCCUAUCGGGAGGUCAGUC
rnacentral:rRNA from 1 species